GUAAUUAGAUACAGAUUAUAAUGAUGGGGAUGAAGAAGUUAUGGAUAUUUAGAUACAGACUAUAACGAUGGGGAGCAGGUGUUUAUGGAUAAUUAGAUAAAGAUUAUAAUGAUGGUGAGAGGGGGGUAAUGGGUGUGACGGACCGACGGGCACCCCAACUGGUUGUCUCAAUCAAUCGAUGCUUCCUAGCUGAUGCUGAGGACCAUAAGCACCGUAGCCCCCUUGCUGCAGCAGCUCCCAGUGUAAUACAGAUUAUAAUGAUGGGGAGGAACGGAAGGCCUC